UCCCUGGAUGACUAAUGGUUAGGCCUCGGCACUCUCACCGCUGUCGUCCGGGUUCGAUUCCUGGCCAGGGAA